UUUAUUUUAGAGCUACGGGAGGGAGGGGGCGGGGCCGAGGCGGGAGGGUGGAGGGGAGGGGCGGGCGAGCCCAGGGGAGGUGGGGGCGGGGCGGGGCGAGGUGGGGGAGGGCGGGGAAGGAGCCCGGGGUGGAGAGGGCCGGGGAAGGGGCGGGAGGCGGGGGGAAGGGAGGGGCCCGCGGGGAGGGAGGAGCAGGGAAAGGGGAGGGGAGCAGAGGCUGCGAGGGAGGGCGCUGGGGGCGGGCGAGGGGAGGCGGGGGCGGGGGUGGGGGUCCUGCCUGCGGGGGGAGCCGGGGCGGCCCCUCGUCCGGCCACCCCCACUGCCCAGUCCCGCUCCCGGCCGCGGCGGCCGCAGCAGCCGCAGCAGCAGCGGCUCCAGGAUGGUGAGCGCCGCUGCCCCCCGGCCCCGGCCCGUCGCCCCCGGCCCGCGCCCCGGCCCCGGGGCGGGACGCCCCCGCAGGCCGCGCACACUCACCUAGGACCCGGCCGGGAUGCCGAGGUACGGGGCCGCGGGCCGGGGCGGGGGCCGGCGCGGGGGCGAGGGCGCGGGCGCGGGCGCGGGCGCGGGCGGGCCGGGUCAGGGGGUGGUGACCGCUCGGCCGGGGGGUCCCGAGCUUUGUCCGCGGGCGCGGGGCAGUGCGAGGGCCGGAGAGGGCGGGGGCCGCGGGGCGCGGGGUCCAGCUCGGCGCGGGUCGGAGGGCAAGGCCGGCCGGAGCCCGGGCGGGUGCGUGGGAGCCGAGGGUCACUUCCCGGGGGGAGGGGGCGGCAGACAAGGGAGCUCGCCUGGGCCCCCGCGCCCUCCGCCGCCCGCCCGGGUGCGCAGGCUGCAGCUCGAGCGCGCGCCGGCGCUGGGGGAGCCCGGGGCGGGGGCGCGGAGCCCGGAUCUGCGGGUUCGGGUCCCCGGGGGCUCCCGUGUCCGGAGCCCGAGGGCCGGCCCGCAGGCCCCUCCCACUCCGUCAGGUCUUUGUCCAGCGGCCCCGUGUGUGUGGGAGGGGGUGGGGGCUGGGUUCCCGGCCCGGAGAUUCCCCAGCAUCGUGACGGGGCAGUGACAGGAGGCCGAGGCCACUUCGGGCCCGGCGCCCCGCAGGCCCGUCCCCUUCCUUUCUUCUCCCCCGGCCGGGGCCGCGGAGCCCCAUCCCGGAGGCCGCACUCACCUUCGCCCGUGGGCUCCGCGCGGCACGGGGACCCCCGAGCUGCCCGCCCUCUGCGGAGCGCCCCUAAACUUGCCCGCUCCCCGAGCCCUCGAGGUCCACGCAGGGAUUCCCUCGCCGGGAACCGCCUGGCGGAGGGCGCUCCGCGGAGGGGUGCGCGCACAGUGGGCGCUCGGCGGGCGGGGCCCCCGCCCCCGCCCCCGCCCCCGCGCCCCCGCCCCUGCCCCCGCGUCCGCUCCGCGCCGCCCGGGGCGGGGAGGCCGGGACGGGUGCGCGCGGGGACGGAGCGAGCGGCCUGCAGCCUGCGCCCAGCGGCGGCCCGGAGCGCAGGGGUGGGUGGACGGGUGGGUGGGCCGUUAAAGGGACGGUCACUAAAUCAGGAUUAG
rnacentral:lncRNA from 1 species